CUUCAUUUGAGUAAAGUUUUUAUUGUUAUAUUAGCUCAUUUAAAGGAGCUGUUAUUGUAUUAAUCUGUGCUCAAAAUUUUCUAACUCUUUGUGAGUUUUAGUUCUUGUUUUUGGAGGAUUUUCAAAACAAGGAAAGGUUGAUCCGAACCUGAAAUCGGAGUGUUUUGGGUUUACUUGUACCCGGAAAACAAGUGAUCUAGCUUGGGAUAGCUAGUGUCGGAGUUUCCGACGUUUUGUAUUCGGGUUGAAUACAAAGUAUAGUGGAUUGAAAUUCUCAAGUAGGAGCUUGGGGAGUGGAUGUAGGUGCAAAGUUAGCACCGAACCACUAUAAAUCCUUGUGUUUGUGGUGUGCUUUAUCGCUUCACUUUAUUUCUUUAUUAUAUUCUUGCAUUCCUGCUUUAGGUAAGUAAUAUCGAAUUAAAGUCUUUGUUUUGUUCUUCAUAAGUAUUCAGUUGGGCUUAAAAUUUUUAGAAACCCAAUUCACCCCCCCCU
rnacentral:lncRNA from 1 species